rnacentral:rRNA from 1 species
GAUGAACGCUAGCGGCAGGAUUAACACAUGCAAGUCGAGGGGCAGCAUUCCAGCAAUGGAGAUGGCGACCGGCAAACGGGUGCGGAACACGUACGCAACAUACCCGCUACUGGGGCAUAGCCUUCUGAAAAGGAGAUUAACACCCCAUAAUAUAGCAGAGUGGCAUCACUCAGUUAUUAAAAAUUCAUUGGUAGCGGAUUGGCGUGCGUCCUAUUAGCUAGUUGGUACGGGUAACGGCCUACCAAGGCGACGAUAGGUAGCUGGUGUGAG